CUCAUGAGUGUCUGAAACCGUCAGUUCACUGGCAGAAAUGGAGAUACGUGGUUCCUGAUAACCUGGCACUUGCCUUUUCAAAGCCACCAUUUCCUCUAUCCUCUGGGCUGUCACAAAUCCUCCUCUGCCCCGCAGGAGUGCCCCUUGGAACCACAUUCACCACUUCUCUGCCCCUGACCCAGGCUGGUUCCCAGGCCUUGGGGUCCUAGUGUGGACCUCCUGGAGGUAAUUAAUGCAGUUUUCCAGAUUAAUUCGAAGUACCCCACGACUACACGCUAAUGAAACUAGAGGAGGCACAGCCUCAGCUCCAUGCAGCAUGGAUGCACAAGAGCAGAAUCUCCAUGGGACGCCUUUCUGGAGCAUCAGUAUUACUGCAGGAUUUGGAAGAAACAAAUUCAAAUAAUUUCCAAAGUAAGACACUGGAAAUUUAAGAGAAAGUUGGAAAGUCAUCUGCCUUUAAUACUUUUUUUCUCCAAGAAAAAAAAGAAACUCUAAGGAGAACCUAUUUUUCAUUCUUCUAGGUAGUUAAAAUUAGAAAUCACAGCAAGUCAAUAGAAAGCUCUGCCUCACCAGUCUCCUAAAUCACAA
rnacentral:lncRNA from 1 species